rnacentral:lncRNA from 10 species
GUAGCGAGGUUGCUUAGGGAGGAGGGAGCGGCAGGACCCAGGCGACGUGACUGCAGUCAACUAACUGGUGUCAGAACCUCAACUACCCGCCGUCUUUUUUUUUUUUUCUUCUUAUUUGGAGACGGGGUCUCCCUCUGUCGCCCGGGCUGGAGUGCAGUGGCGCGAUCUUGGCUCACUGCAACCUCCGCCUUCUGGGUUCAAGAGAUUCUCCUGCCUCAGCCUCCCGAGUAGCUGGGACUACAGGCGCCCACCACCAUGCCCGGCUAAUUUUUUGUAUUUUAGUAGACACGAGGUUUCACCAUGUUGCCCAGGGUGGUCUCGAACUCCUGAGCUCAGGCAGUCCACCCGCCUCGGCCUCCCAAAGUGCUGGGAUUACAGGCAUGCGCCACUGCGCCAGACCACCUGCCGUCUUAAAUGGUAGAUGGCAACCCUAUCUAAAUAGAUCCGUCCCUAUUAUUCUUUCACAGCACUCAAGUUAUUUUUCUUUACAGUACUUAUUACAAUAUAAAAUUAUAAAUAGGUCUCUUGUUUUUUUGUCUGACUUAUUGGGACAAAUUCUGCCUAGAUCAUUGCUGUAUCUCCAGUGUCUAGCACAGUACCUGGUACCCAAGAGACACCCAAUACUUGUUCAAUGAAGAGGAGAAUGACCUGCCGGUCUAGUGCCCGGGGCAGUAAGCUCAGAGGUGUGGCAUUCUCCAGAAUGAGGUCUGCCCAGUUCUCAGGCCAGGGCAGCUGCUCUAAUAUUUUCAUCCCAUAGUACGACCUCAUACUCAAUCACAAAGCAAACCUUUGGCCCGGCACAGUGGCUCACGCUUGUAAUCCCAGCAUAUUGGGAGGCCAAGGCUGGUGGAUCACCUGAGGUUAGGUGUUCAAGACCAGCCUGACUAACAUGGUAAAACCCCGUCUCUACUAAAAAUACAAAAAUUAGCCGGGCGUGGUGGCGCAUUCCUUUAAUCCCAGCUACUUGGGAGGCUGAGGCAUGGGAACCGGGGAAACGGAGGUUGCAGUGAGCCGAGAUCGCGCCAUUGCACUCCAAACCUGGGCAACAAGAGC